AAUUAUAGGGAAUCCGUGGGGUUUCCCUAGCUACAGACAGUCACUAAGGAGCGUCAAGCAGUAAACUCCAGGCUGGCAGUACAGCAGCACACAGAAGCCUUUCUUGUUUCUAUUGCUGAAAUAUGGGGGUAUGAUUAAGCAGCCACUCAGCCUUCCUUGGAGUCUUUUCUAUGGAAUAGGGCACCCGCAGCCACCACAGGUGGCUCUCUGGAAAUACCUACUGAGAGAAGUGGCCACCCGCUACCCCCAAUGACAAAUUUUGAAGAACAAUGAGCUGACAUGACAAGCUGGGAGGAUGUACAAGAGGUCACCAAACUAUCAAAGAUUCUUUCCUUGUCCUCUUCUGGUGGGCACCAUGAUUUAUUUGAUAUCCUCCUCUUACCACGGUCAUGCUGUCUGAUCCUCAUCUUCAUCAGUACAAAGAGAAGCUCCAAUUCCUGGCUGAGAUUCAGAGCCAUAAGGUCAGUGGAAACAAAUGUAUCACAUUUAUUUAUCGUAUGCACUGCUGCAAUAUCACAAUUUGGGGACUGGUUUUCAGUGGAGAAGUAAUCACACCCGGUCAUGUAGGGAAAAUAUGCCGCUAUGCAUAUAUUGUUUAAAGAAUGAGAUUUAGUGAUCAGAAAGCUUCCAGGCUGACAGCACAGAAAAGUCUUGUUCACCACAGAACAGGAACAGCACAAGCAGCUACAGCACAGGCUUCCGCACACUGCUCUGCCUCUGUGCCUCAACCCUGACCUGGAAGUUCAAUAUCCAUGCCAACUCAAUCAUUGCCCUUCCCCAGGAGGCUAUUUGACCGAUGGUUUUAUUACACUCCUGAUGCUGGGGGCACUUUUUCUACUUCCUCUCUUCUUCUGUUUAUCCAAUACUGGUCACUGAUCUCCAGGGAACUACUGAGAGUUUAAUUGUCCAGUGGGAAGGGAAGAGUUUGAAUUGAACCUUCAUGUUGAAAUUUUGGAGGCUUAGUUGUGAUGGAAAAUUUUGAACAUGUUGCAUUUUGUUUC
rnacentral:lncRNA from 1 species